CUUAACUUAUGGAAAUAUAGUUAUUUGUAUAAGUGCAAUAAGAAUCUGUUUUCUUUUGUAGCAGGACACAAUUGGAGUCACUGGUUAUUUUACCAAGGCUUUAACUGGAAUGACAUGCUUUCCAUUAAGGAAUCAAAUUUGACUUAUAGUUUUCCCUUGGGAAAACUGGCCUCAUACCUUGCCUAUACACUCCCUGUACAGAAUUCCUGACUCGUGACCAUCAAGCUCCAGAUGAUCCUCAGUGAGGGAUGCCAUACUCUCAAUAUUCAAGAGUCACUCUUCUACAGAGAAUUCCUAGGCUGCCCAUCAGAGGAACAUGACAAAGGUGAAAUCCUGCCCCUGUCUCUCUUGGACCUGGAUGGAUACCACUUCCAUCAACCCAUAGAGCCACCCUGCCCUGACAUCUAGCAAGAGGCCAAGACCCGCAAAACAACCACCACUAUCCCUCUAUCACCAGGAAGCAACUACAAAAAAGUGAUCCUUAUCCAUUUUCCCCAAAGAACUGGGGUCUUGGACUCUUGAAGAGGGAAAUGUUACAGUAGGUAGGUAGUCAGACAUAAGCAGGGCAAGAGAGUCCUCUCCCCACCAGGAAUGUCAGGUGAUCAUCAGGUGAUAGUCAGGUGAUUGUUAAACUGUUUCUCUAGAAUAACAAUUGGUUGCAGCUGGAGCCAGGGAAAGGCAGUUUCCCAAUAGACAGAAAAUACAUGAAGCUGGUGAUCGGCAGCUUCUGAUAAGAUCUCAGGAGUUGGACAAGUGGACUCAAGCAUGCACACUAAAAGGCAAAAUUGCAGAGUUAAUCUGAUAUAUGACCUUCCUGUAGGAACACUCAACUUGUAAAGGAAGAACGCCUCAAGUGAGCAUGCACACAAGUUCAUUAAAAGCACUGUGCAUGUGGUCCCUCCCAAGUGCUGGCAGGCCAGACUGCCCAGGCCAGAGGAAGAAUCAGGGGAGAAAAGAUGCGACCCCCUGGAAGCAUGCCAAUGUAUAAAACCCCAAGUCAAAGGUCAAACCACGCACUUGAAUCUCUCAAGUUGCCUGUGUGGCCCUCUUACAAGUGUACUUUAUUUCCUAUUGUUCUUGCUCUAACACCCUUUAAUAAACUUUCACUUCUGCUUUAAAA
rnacentral:lncRNA from 10 species